AAGUUACAAGGGUAAUAAUUAUCCUUUAUAGAUCUCAUACCGAACGCCCCAUAAGGGAAAAUUGAAAGAGAAUCAUUAAUAGGUUCAUUUGUUAGCCGUGUCUGUUAUCGAUGAGUCGAUUUGAGGGAAACAGAAAUCUACAUAAACAGGUUUCAUUAGGAGAAUCAUUUACUUAUUAAAAAAUUAAAAGAGAGAGAGAGAGAG
rnacentral:misc_RNA from 1 species